GAUGAACGCUGGCGGCGUGCCUAAUACAUGCAAGUCGAGCGAACAGACGAGGAGCUUGCUCCUCUGACGUUAGCGGCGGACGGGUGAGUCACACGUGGAUAACCUACCUAUAAGACUGGGAUACCUUCGGGAAACCGGAGCUCAUACCGGAUAAUAUAUUGAACCGCAUGGUUCAAUAGUGAAAGCCGGUUUUGCUGUCACUUAUAGAUGGAUCCGCGCCGCAUUAGCUAGUUGGUAAGGUAACGGCUUACCAAGGCAACGAUGCGUAGCCGACCUGAGAGGAUGAUCGGCCACACUGGAACUGAGACACGGUCCAGACUCCUACGGGAGGCAGCAGUAGGGAAUCUUCCGCAAUGGGCGAAAGCCUGACGGAGCAACGCCGCGUGAGUGAUGAAGGUCUUCGGAUCGUAAAACUCUGUUAUUAGGGAAGAACAAAUGUGUAAGUAACUAUGCACGUCUUGACGGUACCUAAUCAGAAAGCCACGGCUAACUACGUG
rnacentral:rRNA from 1 species